rnacentral:rRNA from 1 species
CCUACGGGUGGCUGCAGUAGGGAAUAUUGGACAAUGGAGGAAACUCUGAUCCAGCCAUCCCGCGUGAAGGAUUAAGGUCCUAUGGAUUGUAAACUUCUUUUCUUUGGGAAUAAAAUCUCCGAUUCCUCGGAGCUUGAAGGUACCAGGGGAAUAAGCACCGGCUAACUCCGUGCCAGCAGCCGCGGUAAUCCGGAGGGUGCAAGCGUCAUCCGGAUUCACGGGGUCGUAGGGGUGUGUAGAAGUCAGUGGUGAAAGCCUACAGCUUAACUGUAGAAUUGCCAUUGAUACUGCUUAACUUGAAUCAAGUCGAAGUGGAUGGAAUAGAUCAUGUAGCGGUGAAAUGCUUAGAUAUGAUUUAGAACACCAAUUGCGAAGGCAGUUCACUAGGCUUGUAUUGACACUGAGGCACGAAAGCGUGGGGAUCAAACAGGAUUAGAUACCCUAGUAGUC